rnacentral:rRNA from 1 species
GAUGAACGCUGGCGGCGUGCCUAAUACAUGCAAGUCGAGCGAACGGACGAGAAGCUUGCUUCUCUGAUGUUAGCGGCGAACGGGUGAGUAACACGUGGAUAACCUACCUAUAAGACUGGGAUAACUUCGGGAAACCGUAGCUAAUACCGGAUAAUAUUUUGAACCGCAUGGUUCAAAAGUGAAAGACGGUCUUGCUGUCACUUAUAGAUGGAUCCGCGCUGCAUUAGCUAGUUGGUAAGGUAACGGCUUACCAAGGCAACGAGGCAUAGCCGACCUGAGAGGGUGAACGGCCACACUGGAACUGAGACACGGUCCAGACUCCGACGGGAGGCAGCAGUAGGGAAUCUUCCGCGAUGGGCGAAAGCCUGACGGAGCAACGCCGCGUGAGUGAUGAAGGUCUUCGGAUCGUAGAACCCUGUUAGUAGGGAAGAACAUAUGUGUAAGUAACUGUGCACAUCUUGACGGUACCUUAUCAGAAAGCCACGGCUAACUACGUG